rnacentral:rRNA from 1 species
GACGGAGGGGGCAAGCGUUGUUCGGAAUUAUUGGGCGUAAAGGGCUCGUAGGCGGACCUGUGUGUCUGGCGUGAAAUCUCCACUGCUUAACAGGGAGGGGCCGCUGGAAACUGCCGAUCUUGAGUAUGGUAGAGGACCAUGGAAUUUCGGGUGUAGCGGUGGAAUGCGUAGAUAUCUGCAGGAACACCCGUGGCGAAGGCGGCUCGCUGGACCGCAACUGACGCUGAGGAACGAAAGCUAGGGGAGCAAACAGG